CUGUGGCACCUGUUCUUGUCGCACAAAAGCAAGCUUCUGGAGAUCUGCAGGUUGAUGUCAGCAAAAGCCUGGGAGCUUUCAGAUGGCACAGCCAUUCUAAAUGCAGCUGAACAGUCUGUGAAGAUCAGCUCAUGUUGUCACUGAUGUCACUGACCAUGAAGUCUUUCUGCUUCUUGUUAUAUCUAAGCACAAGCACUUGGGGAAAAUCCCCUAGGUUUCCCUCUGGACUCUGGAGUAGCCAACAUGACUGAAGUGAUUCCUUAC
rnacentral:lncRNA from 1 species